rnacentral:lncRNA from 1 species
CGACCGGCGAGCAGCAACCCAUAGUGAUGGCCGGCUCCAUUCGACCAUGACGCGAGCAACGCCGGAGCUCCGGCCUGGCUGCUCCUUCCCCAUGCCCGUCCUACUCAUCCUCCCGUGCUUCUCCACACCAAGCAUGAAGACCACACCAGCAGGCUCUCUUAUGGCGACGACAUGCGCCCGAUACAGAAUCACAAUAUGUGGCGGCGCCGGAUCGAGAACGCGGGGAGACGCUGUCCUGUGGGGAAGAGAAAGAGGAUAACAUGGUAUAAAAUAAAGUAGUCAUUUUUCAUGUAGUGAAACUUUAGUUUUGGGCAAGAUGAUCAAAAAUAAAAAUAGAACUAAUGCAACAGGAGAACCACAUAUGGAGGCACUCAAGUGGACAGACACAACAGUUCAAACAAACCCAAAAAUAUCUCAUUGUUCACCUUAAACCUUCGGAGGUUUAAAGUGCUAGUUGAACUGAAAGGCACCGUUGCUAGGUGACAAAAAAAUCAGUACGCUCUGCAGUAAUUUGAUAUGAUAAAAACCAGUUGGAUAAAGACCAAAUAAAGUUAUUACCUAGCGAAGUUAGGGCUGCCAUAAAAAUCUGAACAGUUCCAUAAGUGGCCUCUUGAUAUUAUAUGAUUCAUAAAGGAACAUGACACAUGAUUGUGCAAAAAUGACUAUUGAUUCAGUGCCACACUACAGGAAAGGGGAUAUCAGUAGUCAUUAGAAUACACAGACUGAUAGAAAUUAUGCACCUGAUAUUACUUGCUACUUCUCUCAUCUAGCUGCAGCUGGUUUAGCAAAGAGAACCCAAUACCCAAAAUCAUGAAAUGGAUGUUCUCUUGGUUAGUAUACAAGACUGCUUAUUAUCUCUGUUGCCACACCACAGAGCAACCAAGCAAAGGGCCAUGGAGCACCUCACAACAAAAGGAACCUGAAACCUACAAACAGAGGAAUGAUUUUUCUUGUAACAUGAACCAUCAAAUUAACUACACUCGGCUGCACAGCAUGCGAUCGCCACCAUAGAAAGGCUACCCUACUACUUAACUCUCUCCAUAAACUACAAAAAAGCAAGAAAAUCAACCCAAACAACAUUGUAGGAACGAUAUAGACAAGACAAAAGAAUCUCAACUUGUUUGCUCUUUUUUAGUUGAGUAACUCCUUCUAGAGUAAAUGGUCAAGCUGGCCGCAAGAAAGAAACACACAAAAAACCCGAGAAUAGUGCACCAACAAGAAGGAAAAAAAUCUACGUAUGGACAAACUGACCGGGUGUGUGCUUCAGGAACCGAAAGAUUUGGGGAGAGAGAGAAGCAUACCUAAUAGAACUUCACAGGCAUGUCAACCCCUUGUUUAUUCUCCAAUUUCAGCCCUAGCAUUGAAGGAAGCCCAACCCUCUCAUGAACAGACUUUAGAGUGAAGCUCAUUGAUGAUGGCACUGUUAGCAGUCAGAAACUGUAUAAGCGAGGCCAUUCCACCUUCUUGGCCCUCUUAAAUAGCUUGUACAUACCUGUUUUAGAGUCAAGAGAAAAAAAUGAUAUCAACUAAGCAUAUCUAAAAUCCAUCAUAAUACAUACAAAGAAUGUGUUACAUCUGAAAUAAAAUGGAACAUGCAAAUUAGAUAGUUACUUAUAAGUGAAAUACCAUUUUAGGUGUGUUUUCACCAAAGAGAUACAGUGAACAGUGAGCAUUGUCCCAGUACACAUUUAUAGGAAUGAAACACACAUAGUUCAGCUGCUAUAUAGGGUAAUAUCUUUAUCUUACUGCUAUUUGGAUCUUUACUAAGUUGAUUAAUUUGCAUCUGUUACAAAGCAUAAGCCUCGACACAGCUCCAUAUAUGCUAUCAGAAAUGGCCUGACAAACAGUAGUUUUGUCGACAACAAAGAUUUGAACUAUUGAUUGCACAGUUCCUAGUAGAGUUUAUGCUACCUUAAAUCCCAGAAUUUUAGGCCAUCCUCUCCAGUAGUGACAAGGGUGUUUGUGUUUUCCUCACUGUCAAAAUGAUAUGGGUCAGACUCAGUGUUUACCCUUUGGAAGGGAAUAGAAGUAUAACACAACUUAGUACCUUACAUAUAUAUCGUGCCCACGAGAGGGCUCUGGUGGGAACAGAUUCAACAGUACCUUAACCAGAAAAGCUAGUUAAUAUAACACACAAACAAAAAAAAGAGAUAUGCAGUACAGGAAAUCCAAUUGUUUGCUCUUUAGCAUGUGAAAGUAAGCAGUUCCUGAGUCAGACAUGUCAUCUGAAUGGCAUAAGUGAUAGAAAACUAUGGAAAGGGAGAUAACAAACCAUUAAAAUGUCUUCUGACGGCAAGUUUGUGGAGACCUCCAUAAAGCAACCUGGAAACAUCAAAAUCCAACCAUGAACUCAGUAUGGCACGUUCUAACAAAACUGGGCAGUCAUCGGAUUUAAACUAAGAAAAUAAUUUUGUACAUGCAAAAAAGAUACCGUUCCAUCAUGACAUCCUUCCAGUAUCAUAUCAUGAGGAGAAGAUGACUAAUCAACAAUCAAGGGAAUGGUGUUUGCCAUUACAAAGAUGGCGCAAGUGCUCCUAUAAGCCGCACAGCUGGUUUGCAACUGCACUCACUUGGUUGAUUAAACCUGAAAGUUUUUUGCAAUAACCUGGAUUAGCCAUGCUAUACAUGAAUAAUGCAAUUAUUAUCCGACUUUAGUUAACUCCAAAUUCUGUACCAGCACAAAGAAUCUAUGAGCCGAAAGAGUUUAGUCUACUGGCCAUAAAGGAACAGGCACAGACCGAAGCAACUGACAGAAGCUCUUUCUUGCAGGCAUGGCACGUCACACAUUUGUUCAUUACUUCAUGUAACUGAGGCCCAAAAGGACAAUAAGCUGACUUGUAUUUUACUUAUGACACUCGCUCUCAACAAAUACAAGGAGAAGAAUUGCACAUAAGUAAUAUAACGGGGAGGAGAAAAUAAUCAAGAUAUAUAGAUUCUGAAGGAGAAGCAGCCAAGAUAAAAGUAAUACAAGCAUUCCCCUAGUGAAAAGCACAAACAACCAUGGUAAACAUAAAGAAGGGGAGGAUCAAGCAGAACACACCUCCACCGAACCGAAGCAGCGGUUGAUCAACAACAGGAACCGCAAGCUCGCAGAUCCACCAACCUAGCAGAUCCUAGACCUUGCAGAACAAGGGCAGACAUAGUAAGCACUAAGCAGCAACCUAGGCGACGAAUGAAACCACAUGAGGAGGAGCAAGAAGAACAUACCUUAAGUACAGGCCGUGGGUCUCUUAUUUCUUUUAUUUUUCAAUGCCUGCAAUAAAAAAAUGAUGGGAUAAUGAGCAGCUAAAAAUCAGAUAAUGUGUAGACUAAAGACUUCAUAUUGCCUAGCAUGAGCACAAAUAGAAAUAUAUCAAUGCCUGCAAUAAAAAAUGAUGCUACAUGAAGAAAAACAACAGAAAGAUUGUGAAACCAAAGUAUAACGAGAAUUAUACUUGCAUUUCAUCAAACAGGUAGUGUGUAUUUAAUUCAUACAAUAGUGUCGGACACAUCCCUCCACGAAAUACUCUUCCUGUGUCCCUUCUCUGCCGUCAAAUCCAUGUCCAAACCACCAAAAUCAGCAAACAUACACAUUCUCAUCCUAUAUGUUGUCUAUUCAACAAGGAAAUUAAAUCUUGGACUCACCAAAUUUCUCAGAGAACGAAAGUAAUCCAACCAAAUACACUGGAUGUAUACAGAGAUCAUGCCUAUUCUUCUUCUUCUCCUACAGGAGCACAACAAUAACAGAGGAGGGGUUGGAGCCGGCCAUGGUUGGGACUUGGAAGACGAAGGAGGCCCGUGGGGAGUGAUCUGAGAGCGCCUCAUCCGUCCAUCGGCAGCAACAACAGCAUACGAACCGGAUCCUCUGCCGCCUUGGCUCGUCGCCUUGCAGCCUCACCCGCCCCCACUGCCAUCGCCAGGAGAUGCCGCCGCAGUGUUCUCCUCCGGCCAGAGGUGACGAGGAGAGAGGAUGUGUGAGGAGGAGAGAUAGGGGUGGCGACGGCAGCGGAUCGAGAGGAUGAAUGGGGAAGGAGAGACUGCGAGCGCCAUGGCCAUGGCCGUCACCUGACCCGCUCGCUCUCCCUCUCCUCUUCCCUUCCCGUCGCCUGACCCGCUCGCUCUCCCUCUUCUCUUCCUUCCCUUCCCUUCUGAAAACGGGAGGGGGGAGGUUGCGGGCGGAGGCUGGCCGGAGGAGACGGGCGCGAGCGGCGGCGGCUGGCCGGGUGGAGGAGACGACGGCGGCGGGGCAGGGAGGCGGGCGCGGUCUAGCUAGGGUUUGGAGGGAGAGAGAGGAGAGGGGCGCGGCGCGAGUGCGGGAUGGGCAGAAGGCUAGGUUACCUCCACUGGAACGGCUGCCUUUUAUACGCCUGGAUGCGAAAUGACGAAAAUGCCCUCGGCGGGACACGAAAAUAACAGGCGGUGGCACGAGCGAUUUAAAGGCGACGUCUUAUUAAUUUGCAUCUGUUACAAAGCAUAAGCCUCGACACAGCUCCAUAUAUGCUAUCAGAAAUGGCCUGACAAACAGUAGUUUUGUCGACAACAAAGAUUUGAACUAUUGAUUGCACAGUUCCUAGUAGAGUUUAUGCUACCUUAAAUCCCAGAAUUUUAGGCCAUCCUCUCCAGUAGUGACAAGGGUGUUUGUGUUUUCCUCACUGUCAAAAUGAUAUGGGUCAGACUCAGUGUUUACCCUUUGGAAGGGAAUAGAAGUAUAACACAACUUAGUACCUUACAUAUAUAUCGUGCCAACGAGAGGGCUCUGGUGGGAACAGAUUCAACAGUAC